rnacentral:lncRNA from 1 species
ACGGUCCUGGGGUUAUCUGGCUUUGUUUAGGACUUCUAAUCCAUCUCUAAUCAAGUUUUUAACCUUUUAAAAGGGUCUGAUCGGUAACAGAGAGAAGGGUGGUUCGGAUUCUCACACCGUACGAAGCCCGUAUGAGAGAGAGGUAGAAGCGCUUAGAGAGAAGGAGCAGGAGGCUCCUGGACAGCGGUCGCCAGGCACUUCAGGGGUUCAGCAGGGUCUUCCAAGAGAGAGAGAGCUUUUAUGAGAGAAACUUCUAGUGAGAGAGAAUUGGGUGUACAAGGGUUGAGGGUGAGGUCUCCUCUUGUAAAUUUUUUUUUUCAUAGUGAAGUUUGCAUGCCCCA